CAAUAGCGUAUAUUAAAGUUGUUGCAGUUAAAAAGCUCGUAGUAGGAUUUCUGAUCGAGACAUCAGGUCGGGUCCGAGAGGAUCAUGUACUUUGAUUUUGUUUUGAUCAUCCUUGGGGAGAGCAUUUCUGGCAUUCAGUUGUCGGGAUUGGGAUCCUCAUCGUUUACUGUGAAAAAAUUAGAGUGUUCAAAGCAGGCCUCGGCCUCUGAAUACAUUAGCAUGGAAUAAUAAGAUAGGACUUUGGUGGUCUAUUUUGUUGGUUUGCACGCCAAAGUAAUGAUUAAUAGGGAUAGUUGGGGGUAUUCGUAUUCAAUUGUCAGAGGUGAAAUUCUUGGAUUUAUGGAAGACGAACUACUGCGAAAGCAUUUGCCAAGGAUGUUUUCAUUGA
rnacentral:rRNA from 1 species